rnacentral:rRNA from 1 species
GACGAACGCUGGCGGCGUGCUUAACACAUGCAAGUCGAACGGAAAGGCCCUGCUUUUGUGGGGUGCUCGAGUGGCGAACGGGUGAGUAACACGUGAGUAACCUGCCCUUGACUUUGGGAUAACUUCAGGAAACUGGGGCUAAUACCGGAUAGGAGCUCCUGCUGCAUGGUGGGGGUUGGAAAGUUUCGGCGGUUGGGGAUGGACUCGCGGCUUAUCAGCUUGUUGGUGGGUUAGUGGCUUACCAAGGCUUUGACGGGUAGCCGGCCUGAGAGGGUGACCGGCCACAUAUGGACAUAGAGGCGGCCCAGGCUACGACGGUAUGCAGCAUGGGGGAAAAUUGCAUAAUGGGCGUAAGCCUGAUGCAGCGACGCCGCGUGCGGGAUGGCGGCCUUCGGGUUGGAAACCGCUUUCGCCUUUGACGAAGCGUGAGUGACGGUAAUGGGUAAAGAAGCUCCGGCUAACUACGUG